CGGUGGGGGCGUGUCUGAUUGGAGUGGGCCGGCCGCAGCGCAGGCCACAGGAGGGGCAGGGGCACCCAGACCCGGAGCGGAAAGCAGCGCGGGAGAGCGGGCUCGCAGACGGGCGCUGGGCAGGGUGCAGGCGCGCGGGGACCAGACGGAGGAGCCAGGCUGCCAGAGAAGAUGGUGGAUUACCUGGCCAACACGGAGAUCAACAGCCAGCGCAUCGCCGCGGUCGAGAGCUGCUUCGGGGCAUCCGGGCAGCCCCUGGCCCUGCCAGGCCGGGUGCUGCUGGGCGAGGGCGUGCUGACCAAGGAGUGCCGCAAGAAGGCCAAACCGCGCAUCUUCUUCCUCUUCAAUGACAUCCUGGUGUACGGCAGCAUCGUGCUCAACAAGCGCAAGUACCGCAGCCAGCAUAUCAUUCCGCUGGAGGAGGUGACGCUGGAGCCGCUGCCCGAGACCCUGCAGGCCAAGAACCGCUGGAUGAUCAAGACGGCCAAGAAGUCCUUCGUGGUGUCGGCCGCCUCCACCACGGAGCGCCAGGAGUGGAUCAGCCACAUCGAGGAGUGCGUGCGGCGGCAGCUGCUGGCCACGGGCCGCCAGCCCAGCACGGAGCACGCGGCGCCCUGGAUCCCCGACAAGGCCACAGACAUCUGCAUGCGCUGCACGCAGACGCGCUUCUCGGCCCUCACGCGGCGCCACCACUGCCGCAAGUGCGGCUUCGUGGUCUGUGCCGAGUGCUCCCGAGAGCGCUUCCUCCUGCCGCGCCUGUCGCCCAAGCCCCUGCGCGUCUGCAGCCUCUGCUACCGCGAGCUGGCCGCCCAGAAGCGGAAGGAGGAGGAGGAGGAGCAGAGCGUGGGGUCCCCCCGGCAGCCGGCCUACCUGGCCGGGGCCAUCUGCGGAGCAUCCAGCGGGGACGAUGAUGACUCUGACGAGGACAAGGAGGGCAGUGGGGACGGCGACUGGCCCAGCCACGUGGAGUUCUACGCCUCCGGCGUCUCCUGGUCGUCCUUCCACAGCUGACCCGAAUCUGCAGCUGUGCGGGAGGGCCUCCCGGGUCCCUUCUGCAUCCAGUCAGACUCCAUUGCCCGUGCUCCUGAGAGAACAGAGUUCCCAGACUGCCCAGCAGCCCCCAGGACCCUGCCCCGUGGGUGGCAGGCGCAGUGGGAAUGGCUCUUUCUCUCUCGGCCCCCAGUGCCUUUGGGCUGGACGUUGGCAGCCUUCUGCUCCACUUCAGAAAUGUGGCUCACAUUUGUGGCUUGUGUUAGAUUCUGUUGGCGAGACACUAGAGAGAAGACCCCACAUCCAAAAUGGUUCCCGGCAUGGCUGACCUUCCUGCCAGAGUCCGUGGGUACAAGUCCCACGUGCCUGGGGUGGAGCUCAAGGAGUUCAUGUUACAGUGGGGCCAUGCCUCUGAGGAGGUAGGGCCCCCGGAGCACGCUCGUGAAAACUCAGCCUCGAGUCCAGCCCAGGAGGCAGCCCCAGGGAGCUGGGGACCAGGCUGGUCCUUGUGUGGUUUAGGGACAGGUAAAGCACUCACACUUUGUAACACUAGAACGCCCGUGGGCACAAGAUGCCCACAACGCAGGGCCUCUUGUCUGCUGCACACUGCUUCUUCUGAACCAUGCCCUCACCGCUUUGGAAGCCUGGAAGGUCACCAGCACCCGUUAGAAUUUGUCUUUUUCUUUAUUCCCCCCAAGCAUGGAAGGGUGAAACAGCUGUAAGGUAAACAAUGUGUAUGGAGAAGUUCUAGCGAAUUUCAUAUGCCCAUCCCCAUUUACUACUUAUUAAAAUUGGCUAUUAGUAUUCCAUUAUAUUGCCCACAUAUGCAGUUUGACUAUGUCCCUGUUGCUCAGCACUGGGGCUGGUUCCCUUUUCUCCUGCUGCCAUAAACAGCAGUGCUAUGAAUAUCUUUAUCCUUUUUCCAUUUGAAUUAUUUUAUUGUAAUGUUUUCCCUGAAGUGAAAUUUGUUGGCUGGAAAGUGUACACAAUUUUAUGGUUCCUGUGACUUUUUUUCUUCAAAUCACUCUCCCAAAAGACUGUAUCACCAAGUAUUUCCUCCAGCACUCUGUGUGUGUGUGUGUGUGUGUGUGUGUGUGUGUGUGUGUGUCUUCCUGCAGCCCUGCCAGUUCUGGGUUUGAUCACUUGUAUUUAUUUUUACCAAUUAAUUGUUAUGUAACAGAAGCUAUUAUCCUGGCAUUUGCUUUGCAAAUGAGAAUGAGUGAAGUCCUUCCCUUAAAACUCAUACAAAUUAAGUAAGUAGCCAUCACUUCUGUAGUUUAAAGAAACACUUUUCGGCUCCUUCUGUGUGCCAGCACUUGGGAUACCCACAGCUGCCCUGAGGCUACAAUCCAGCUGGCCAGCUCGAGCUUCACCUCCUGACCCACCGUUAUCAAAUAGUCCAAGAAGCCUCCUCCGGUUAAUAAAGCCAUUUACCUCCUUCCAACAAACUGAAAACGCAUCAGUCAGCCCCCUUUCCCUGUGUGGUUUAGAUGAAUCCUGGCAUUUCUUAAUUGCCAUAUGUUGAUUGUUCAAGAUUGAGACACAUUCUGGUUUCUAUGCAAAAAGAUUGCAGGAGACAUGGCUGAUGUUCUGUUCAUGGCUUAUUAAAACCUCAGGAAGACCCUAGCCGCCCUCCCAAGGGGAACUCAAUAACAGGCAUCCUGGUGGAGCCACGUCCUGGCCCCUCAGGUAACCCAAGAAGGCUGGGAGGGAAACUGACAGAGGAUGUGCAUACUUGACCACUAGAUGGCACCUCUCAAUAACUAAUGGGGAGAGAAUUGCUUCCUUCCAAACCUCCAGCCCCAUUCCUGACAGCCUCCCCACCAUGCAUUGCAACACACCCCAGUCGUGUUUACUUCCAAGCCAGACAUCUCAAAAAAAAUAAAUAAAUAAAAUAAAAAAACAGAAAAAUAAAAAAGUUCAUUCUAGCUAAAAAUACACCAUCUGCCUGUGAAAAAUCUUGCCCGGCGCUGUCAUGUCAACACCCAAAGCAGGUUAAUAACCGGCCCAGAACAGAUGGUUUCUUUUUAUAAUUACUGGGUCCCCCCCCACCACCAGCAAGGCUUCUUCCUCAGCUGCCUCCUUACCCUGCUGGCAGCCCCCUAGUGUUUCCUGGCCACCCCGCUGCCACCGCCCAGCCAGCUACUGCCCUGCCAGCCACAGGGGGCCAGCCCAUUGCCAGCCCUCUGCUCAGGCCGUAGGACCCGGGGGCUUUCAACACCACCUGGGAAGACGGCUAUCAGGAGGUCACCACCCCAGCCUUGUCAACCCCACUAUCAAAGAAAAACUAAUCAAGCCAAAAUGUCAGUAAUCACUCAACAAAUGAAGUUUAAGACACUUAUCAUCCUAUUUCUGGGUGAGGAUACAGUGAGAUGUGCACCCCCAAACCCUGUUGUGGGGAAAGCAGAUUAUUAACACUGACUAUCUAGAAAGAAUUUUGACAGAAUAUAACAGCUUUAAAAAAUAUUGUAUACUGGGGUGCCUGGGUGGUUUAGUCUGUUGAGUGUCUGACUUUGGCUCAGGUCAUGAUAUCAUGGUCCAUGAGUUCAAGCCCCGCAUCGGGCUGUGUGCUGAAAGCUCGGAGCCUGGAGCCUGCUUCGGAUUCUGUGUCUCCCUCUCUCUCUGCCCCUCCCCUGCUAGUACUCUGUCUCCGUCUCUCUGUCUCAAAAAUAAAUAAAAUUUAAAACGUAAAAAAAUAUAUUGCAUACUUAAAAUUGUUUUUUUGGAGAGAGAGACAGAGAGUGUGGAUGAACAAGCAGGGGAGGGGCAGAGAGAGAGAGAGAGAGAGAGAGAGAGAGAGAGAGAGAGAAUCCCAAGCAGGCUCCACGCUCCGCGCAGAGCCAGAUGCAGAGCUCAGUCCCACAACCCUAGGAUCACAACCUGAGCCAAAAUCAAGAGUUGGACACUCAACUGCCAGAGCCACUUAGGCGCCCCUAUUGCAUACUUUUUAAUACACUAAUUUCACUUUGAGGAAUAUAUCUGAAAGACUAUCGUAAUGUAAAAUAUGGAACGAAUGUUAACACAAAAAUGUUCACUGCAGCAAUGGAAACCAUACCAGGGAUAUGGUUAAGUGUGAUGGAAUGUUAUACAGCCAUUACAUAUUUACAAGGAAUUUUAAAUUAUAUCACAAAUGUUACUUAAUGUUAAUUGGUAAAAGUGUUCAAAGAGGCCUAAACAGUAAGAACACAAAUAUGGUGGAAAUAUGCACAGACAGCAUUAAAAGGUUUGCAUGAAACACACCAAAUUUGCUAAGGGUGAUAUUCUGAGGGGUGCCUGGGUGGCUCAGUCAGUUGAGUGUCUGAAUUUUUUUUUUAAUGUUUAUUUAUUUUUGCAGGAGAGAGAGACAGAGCGUGAGCAGGGGAGGGUCAGAGAGAGAGGGAGACACAGAAUCUGAAGCAGCUCCAGGCUCUGAACCAUCAGCACAGAGCCCAACACGAGGCUCAAACUCACAGGCUGUGAGAUCAUGACCUGAGCUGAAGUCGAACGCUUAACUAACUGGCCACCCAGGCGCCCCAUGAGCAUCUGACUCUUAAUUUUAGCUCAGGUCAUGAUCUCAUGGGUUCCUGCGAUUGAGCCCCAUAUCAGGCUCUGUGCUGACACCUCAGAGCCUGCUUGGGAUUCUCUCUCUCUCUCUCUCUC